AGGUGCUACGUUUCCAUCCCUAUCCCACUUUUCUUGUUCUUUUCGUCUGUGAGGCAGUGAUCACCACCUGAAAGGAUCUGUUUCCUUAUUCUUUCACUUCUAGUUUAUCGUCUGUCCCUUCCCACAGGCCAUAGGCUCCAUGAAGGCCAACGCCUGAGUUGGAUUGCUCACCACUGGGUUGGCACUCCAGAAUAAAACCUGGCACACAGUGGCUCCUGGUUUGGUGACUCACAUAUAAAAAGACAACUGGAGUCCCAUCAG